UACGUAGGUGGCAAGCGUUGUCCGGAUUUACUGGGCGUAAAGAGCGCGCAGGCGGUCGGAUAAGUCGAAUGUGAAAGCCCCCGGCUCAACUGGGGAGGGUCAUUCGAUACUGUUCGACUCGAAGGCAGGAGAGGGAAGUGGAAUUCCCGGUGUAGUGGUGAAAUGCGUAGAUAUCGAGAGGAACACCAGUGGCGAAGGCGAGUCCCUGGACAACACCUGACACUGAGGCACGAAAGCUAGGGGAGCAAACAGG
rnacentral:rRNA from 1 species